UACGUAGGUGGCAAGCGUUAUCCGGAAUUAUUGGGCGUAAAGAGCUCGUAGGCGGUUUGUCGCGUCGGCCGUGAAAACUUGGGGCUUAACUCCAAGCUUGCGGUCGAUACGGGCAGACUUGAGUUCGGCAGGGGAGACUGGAAUUCCUGGUGUAGCGGUGAAAUGCGCAGAUAUCAGGAGGAACACCGGUGGCGAAGGCGGCUCUCUAGUACGGUACUGACGCUGAGACGCGAAAGCGUGGGGAGCGAACAGG
rnacentral:rRNA from 1 species